AACGAACGCUGGCGGCAGGCUUCAUACAUGCAAGUCGAGCGAUUAAGACCCCUUCGGGGGUGAAUAAAGCGGCAAACGGGUGAGUAACAGGUGGAUAAUCUGCCUUCCGAUGGGGGACAACGGCUGGAAACGGCCGCUAAUACCGCAUACGGUUGCGAGUUCCUUGGAACUUGCAAAGAAAGGCGCUUUUGCGUCGUCGGAAGAUGAGUCCGCCACCCAUUAGCUAGUUGGAGGGAUAAUAGCCCCCCAAGGCAACGAUGGGUAGCCGAGCUGAGAGGUUGAUCGGCCACACUGGAACUGAGACACGGUCCAGACACCUACGGGUGGCUG
rnacentral:rRNA from 1 species